GCCUUGGUAGCUCAGCUGGUAGAGCAGUAGACUGAAAAUCUACGUGUCGGUGGUUCAACUCCGCCCCAAGGCACCA
rnacentral:tRNA from 3 species